rnacentral:rRNA from 1 species
UACAGAGGGUGCAAGCGUUAAUCGGAAUUACUGGGCGUAAAGCGCAUGUAGGUGGAAGGACAAGUUUGAUGUGAAAGCCCUGGGCUUAACCUGGGAAAGUCGUUGAAGACUGUUCAUCUAGAGUCAGACAGAGGGCCGUAGAAUUUCCGGUGUAGCGGUGAAAUGCGUAGAGAUCGGAAAGAAUACCAGUGGCGAAGGCGGCGGCCUGGGUCGAGACUGACACUGAGGUGCGAAAGCGUGGGGAGCAAACAGG